UGGCGUAGCGCGCAAAGCCACGGCUUGCUAAGCCGAAGGUCCCGGGUUCGAUUCCCGG
rnacentral:tRNA from 1 species